rnacentral:rRNA from 1 species
CUGGAAACGGUGGCUAAUACCGGGUGUGCCGAAAGGNGAAAGGUUAACUGCCUGGAGAUGAGCUCGCGUCUGAUUAGCUAGUUGGGAGGGUAAAAGCUUACCAAGGCGACGAUCAGUAGCUGGUCUGAGAGGACGAUCAGCCACACUGGGACUGAGACACGGCCCAGACUCCUACGGGAGGCAGCAGUGGGGAAUUUUCCGCAAUGGGCGAAAGCCUGACGGAGCAAUACCGCGUGAGGGAGGAAGGCUCUUGGGUUGUAAACCUCUUUUCUCAGGGAAAAAAAAUGACGGUNCUUGAGGAAUAAGCAUCGGCUAACUCCGUGCCNGCAGCCGCGGGAAUACGGAGGAUGCAAGCGUUAUCCGGAAUGAUUGGGCGUAAAGCGUUCGCAGGGGGCAUUGAAAGUCUGCUGUUAAAGAGUCUGGCUCAACCCGAU